rnacentral:rRNA from 1 species
AGGCCUAACACAUGCAAGUCGAGCGGUAGAGAGAAGCUUGCUGCUUGCUUCUCUUGAGAGCGGCGGACGGGUGAGUAAUACCUAGGAAUCUGCCUGGUAGUGGGGGAUAACGUUCGGAAACGGACGCUAAUACCGCAUACGUCCUACGGGAGAAAGCAGGGGACCUUCGGGCCUUGCGCUAUCAGAUGAGCCUAGGUCGGAUUAGCUAGUUGGUGAGGUAAUGGCUCACCAAGGCUACGAUCCGUAACUGGUCUGAGAGGAUGAUCAGUCACACUGGAACUGAGACACGGUCCAGACUCCUACGGGAGGCAGCA